rnacentral:rRNA from 1 species
UACGUUCCCGGGCCUUGUACACACCGCCCGUCACACCAUGGGAGUGAGUUGCAAAAGAAGUAGGUAGCUUAACCUUCGGGAGGGCGCUUACCACUUUGUGAUUCAUGACUGGGGUGAAGUCGUAACAAGGUAACCGUAGGGGAACCUGCGGUUGGAUCACCUCCUUACCUUAAAGAAGC